rnacentral:sRNA from 17 species
AAUGUCCUGCUUUCCCGAAGCCCUGCUUUCCUAUGCGGGGUACUUAUGUAGAGAAAGCGGGACAUU